CAAAUUGAGCCUUAGAGGCUAUAUUAUUUACAAUAAUAAAUAAAUUGUGCAAUUCAAUUCAAUUUGA
rnacentral:tRNA from 1 species